UGAACGCUAGCGGCAGGCCUAAUACAUGCAAGUCGAGGGGUAACAGGAAGUGCUUGCACUUCGCUGACGACCGGCGCACGGGUGAGUAUCGCGUAUACAAUCUGCCUCAUACUAGGGAAUAGCCCGAAGAAAUUUGGAUUAAUGCCCUAUGGUAUCUUCUUAAGGCAUCUUAUUAAGAUUAAAGGUUACGGUAUGAGAUGAGUAUGCGUUCUAUUAGCUAGUAGGUGUGGUAACGGCACACCUAGGCUACGAUAGAUAGGGGCCCUGAGAGGGGGAUCCCCCACACUGGUACUGAGACACGGACCAGACUCCUACGGGAGGCAGCAGUAAGGAAUAUUGGUCAAUGGACGAAAGUCUGAACCAGCCAUGCCGCGUGCAGGAUGACUGCCCUAUGGGUUGUAAACUGCUUUUAUAUAGGAAGAAAAACUUUCUCGUGAGAAAGCUUGACGGUACUAUAAGAAUAAGGAUCGG
rnacentral:rRNA from 1 species